UACGACUACAUAUCAGGCAUAUCAAUAAGCGGAGGAAAAGAAACUAACAUAGGAUUCCCUCUAGUAGCGGCGAGUGAAGCGGGAAGAGCUCAAAUUUGAAAUCUUCAAGGUUUUACCUUGACGAAUUGUAGUUUAAAGAAGUGUUUUCGGUUAGAGGAGUUUAGGUAAAAGUUCUUUGGAAUAGGACAUCAUAGAGGGUGAGAAUCCCGUAUUUGACCUAUUAUUUCCUAGCUUUGUGAUACACUUUCAAAGAGUCGGAUUGUUUGGGAAUGCAGUCCAAAAUGGGUGGUAAAUUUCAUCUAAAGCUAAAUAUUGGCGAGAGACCGAUAGCGAACAAGUACCGUGAGGAAAGAUGAAAAGAACUUUGAAAAGAGAGUUAAACAGUACGUGAAAUUGUCAAAAGGGAAGCGUUUGACACCAGUGUUGUUUCUGACGAAAAUCAAUUUAUGAUGGCUUGAUGCUAAGCUUUAAGACUUUAUCCGCUUGUUGUUUAGUUUUCUUGUCUUUGUGAAUGCACUUUUCGUUGAACAAGUCAACAUCAAUUUCUUUUGCUGUAAAAGGGUAAGAGGAAGGUGGCUUCGGCUUCGGUUGAAGUGUUUAUAGCCUUUUAUCUCUGCAGUCGGAGAGAUUGAGGUCUGCAGCGUAGACUCUUCGGGGUUAGAUACGUCGGUGCUAAGCUAUAGCUUUUCAUAGACAACUUGUUGACUAUGUUUAGUCAUGUGGCUUACCCGCUGGCGCUAUUUUACCUACGCUUAGGAUGUUGACUGAUAUGUAGUCGUA
rnacentral:rRNA from 1 species